rnacentral:rRNA from 1 species
CGGGACGGGUGAGUAACGCGUGAGGAACCUGCCUCAGAGAGGGGGAUAACACGCCGAAAGGUGUGCUAAUACCGCAUAACAUAUGAGAGGGGCAUCCCUUUCAUAUCAAAGAUUUAUUGCUCUGAGAUGGCCUCGCGUCCAAUUAGCUAGUUGGUGAGGUAACGGCCCACCAAGGCGACGAUUGGUAGCCGGACUGAGAGGUUGAACGGCCACAUUGGGACUGAGACACGGCCCAGACUCCUACGGGAGGCAGCAG